ACCCCUGUGAGAAUGCCCUUUCCCCCCGGCAGGAAAAAAGGAGCAGGCAUCAGGCACACAUUUGUAGCCCAAAACGCCUUGCUUAGCCACACCCCCAAGGGAACGCAGCAGUGACAAACAUUAAGCCAUGAGCGAAAGCUUGACUUAGUUAGGGUUGACAGGGCCGGUAAAACUCGUGCCAGCAACCGCGGUUACACGAGAGGCCCGAAUUGACACAUCACGGCGUAAAGUGUGAUUAGAGAUAAACCAGACUAGAGCCAAACACCCCUUAUGCUGUCAUACGCCAUGGGGGUCACGAAGAUCAACGACGAAGGUGGUUCUAAUAACCUAAUCUUGAACUCACGACAGCCAAGAUACAAACUGGGAUUAGAUACCCCACUAUGCUUGGCCUUAAACUAAGGCGAUAAACCUACAAACUUCGCCCGCCAGGGAACUACGAGCCCUAGCUUAAAACCCAAGGGACUUGGCGGUGCCUCAAACCCACCUAGAGGAGCCUGUCCUAUAACCGAUGAUCCCCGUUUAACCUCACCUCUCCUUGCCAAUCCCGCCUAUAUACCGCCGUCGCCAGUUUACCUUUUGAAAGAACAACAGUAAGCAAAACGGGUAUUACCCAACACGUCAGGUCGAGGUGUAGCGAAUGGAGGGGGAAGAGAUGGGCUACAUUUUCUGGCAACAGAACACUACGAAGAGCACAAUGAAAUGUGUGCGGCCGAAGGUGGAUUUAGCAGUAAAAAGAAAGAAGAGAGUUCUUUUGAAACCGGCCCUGAGGCGCGUACACACCGCCCGUCACUCUCCUCGAAAAACGAAAUGCCCAUAUAUAAAAUUUUAGACCAAUAGAGAGGAGGCAAGUCGUAACAUGGUAAGUGUACUGGAAGGUGCACUUGGAAUAAU
rnacentral:ncRNA from 1 species